UACGGAGGGUGCGAGCGUUGUUCGGAAUCACUGGGCGUAAAGCGCGUGUAGGCGGUCUGCUAAGUCUGAUGUGAAAGCCCGGGGCUCACCCCCGGAAGUGCAUUGGAAACUGGCAGACUGGAGUCCCGGAGAGGAGGGUGGAAUUCCUGGUGUAGCGGUGAAAUGCGCAGAUAUCAGGAGGAACACCGAUGGCGAAGGCAGGUCUCUGGGCAUUAACUGACGCUGAGGAGCGAAAGCAUGGGGAGCGAACAGG
rnacentral:rRNA from 1 species